GGAGUCUGAAGGUCUAGCAAGAGCGGUGAGGAAUUUUAUAAUGAGUUUAUCUUCAAAUUGCCCCAUCCAGUCUCUGCCACAAACU
rnacentral:lncRNA from 1 species